GACCGCAAGGCCUCGGGGAAUGCGGGUGAGAAUCCUGCGCUAUGCCAGUAACCGUAAACGCCACGACGCACGUCGGGCAAAGUCGGAAUGCCGAGCCGGUC
rnacentral:ncRNA from 2 species